GGGAGAGGAGUGGGUGUGCUUCCAAGCCGUGCGCCUUCAUCAACUUUCCUCUGGCUUAAUAUCAUGAAUGCUGUAUGCUUUGGGAGCUUCUCAAACAUUAUGAGAAUCAGCCACACAAACUUUCCAAGCCUUCAAAUCAAUGCUGCCUUCACCUUAGUAGGUAUGAAGACCAUCUAAAGAACCUGAAGGUGCACAAAUCCAUAGGACCCAACAAGAACUAUCCAUGAGUUAUGAGGGAAGUGGCUGAAGAUGCCAAGCUGCUAUUCAUCAUAUUUGAAAGGUCAUGGCAGUCUAGUGAAGUUCCCACCAACUGGAAAAGGGGAAACAUAAUCCCCAUUUUCAAGAAGGAAAAAAAGAAGAUCCAGGGAGCUAGAGGCCAGUCAGUCUCACCACUGUGCCUGGCAAGAUCAUGGAACAGAUCCUCCUGAAGGCUCUACUAAGGCACAUGGGAAAUAAAGACAAGGUGACUCGUGGUAACCAACGUGACUUCACCAAGGAUAAGUCAUGCCUGACAGACAUGGUGGCCUUUUAUGAUGGAGUUACAGCAUCAAUGUAUAAAGGAAAAGUAAAUGAUGUCAUCUACCUGGACUUGUGCAAAGCAUUUGACACUGUCCCACACAACAUCCUGGUCAUCAAAUUGGAAGAAAAUAAAUUUGAUGGAUGGACUACUCACUGAAUAAGGGAUUGGCUGGAUGGUUGCACUCAGAAAGUUGUGGUCAAUAGCUCAGUUUCCAAGCGGAGAUUGAUGAUGAGAUGAGUGGCGUUCCUCAGGGAUUGGUGUUGGGAUUGGUAUUAUAUAAUAUCUUUGUAGGCAACAUGGACAGUUGGAUUGCACCCUCAGCAAGUUUGCAGGUGACAUCAAGCUGAGUUGUAUAGUUAACACGCUAGAGGGAAGGAAUGCCAUUCAGAGGGACCUGGACAGGCUUGAGAGGUGGGCCCAUGCCAACCUCAUGAAGUUCAAAGAGGUGAAGUCCUACACCUGGGUCAAGGCACUCUCAAGCACAGAUACAGGUUGGGUGGAAAAUGGCUUGAGAGCAGCCCUGAAAAGAAGGAUUUGACUGUGUGAUUGAUGAAAGAUUCAACAAGAGCUGGCAAGUGUGCACUUCCAGCCCAGAAGGCCAACUGUAUCCUGGGUUGCAUCAAGAAAAGUAUGACCUGGAAGUCAAAGGAGGUGAUUCUGACGCUCUACUCUGUGGAAAGACCUCACCUAGAGUACUGCAUCUGGUUCUGGAGCUCCCAGCACAAGAAGGACAUGGAGUUCUUUGAGCAGGUUCAGAGGAGGGCCACGAAGAUGAUCAGAGGGCUGGAGCACCUCCUCUACGCUCCAUAGCCUGGAGAAGAGAAGGCUCUGAAGAAGAUUUUGUAGCAGCCUUCCAGUACUUGAAAGGGGACUACAGGAAAGCUGGGGAGGGACUUUUUAGAAGGGCCAGUAGCAUCAGGAAAAGUGGAAAUAGUUUUGAGCUGGAAGGGUGUGGAUUUAGACUAGAUAUUAGGAAGAAAUUAUUUACUGUGAGGGUGGUGAAGUGCUGGAACAGGUUGCCCAGUGAGGUUGUGAAUGCCCUCUCCUUAGAAACAUUCAAGGUCAGGUUGAAUGGGACUUCAAGCAACCUGGUCCAGACAGAGGUGUCCCUGCCUAUAGCAAGUGUGUUGGAACUAGAUGAUACUAAAGGUCCCUUCCAACCCUAACUAUUCUAUGAUUCUAUGAUUAAAGCCUAUGAAUUUUAAACUGGAAUUUGGAAUCCUGCCAUUAAAUAAUCUUAAACAAGAUGGUAUGCUAUUUGUUGAAUCAAUGGAGUUUUAAUGUCAGUAGCAUUCUUCUUGUGAAAUAUCUUUGUUUUGUUGCUCUGAGCAGAAAUCAGUUCAAUCUGAAAUUAAGAUGGGAGGAAGCAAAAACCAAAAAAGAGCAUUCUGGUGUAUCUCUUGAUAAUCUACUGUCAAUUACCACUGGUUUUACAUAAAUUAGUGUGUGAAUUGUUAUGCCAGUGCAAAUGUCACAAAGAUGAAAACCAUCAGUUCUCCUUCAUCCUUUUUGUGAAAUAAUUUGUGACCCUCAAUCUCUCCUCCCAGAGGUGUGACCUAUUUCUCUUGUUACUGCAAGGCAGAUUGUCAGUGCCAGUUUUCCAGAGACAGAAGAGGUUCUAUGCACAGUCAGUGUAAAGGGCUGUGCAAAGGAUCCCCCAUUUAACAGUGUAAACUUGUCAGGAAGAAAAGAAGUGGGUACAGGUAACUUAACACCUGAAUUUUGAGCAAUGACUUGUGUAUCCAAAUUGUAUUGGUAACCCUUUCUAUGCAAUUUCCAGGUGCUUAAGGAUGCCCUCGGUA
ensembl:lncRNA